rnacentral:rRNA from 1 species
AUUGAACGCUGGCGGCAGGCCUAACACAUGCAAGUCGAGCGGCAGCGGGAAAGUAGCUUGCUACUUUUGCCGGCGAGCGGCGGACGGGUGAGUAAUGCCUGGGGAUCUGCCCAGUCGAGGGGGAUAACUACUGGAAACGGUAGCUAAUACCGCAUACGCCCUACGGGGGAAAGCAGGGGACCUUCGGGCCUUGCGCGAUUGGAUGAACCCAGGUGGGAUUAGCUAGUUGGUGAGGUAAUGGCUCACCAAGGCGACGAUCCCUAGCUGGGCUGAGAGGAUGAUCUGCCACACUGGAACGGAGACACGGUCCAGACUCCUACGGGAGGCAGCAGUGGGGAAUAUUGCACAAUGGGGGAAACCCUGAUGCAGCCAUGCCGCGUGUGUGAAGAAGGCCUUCGGGUUGUAAAGCACUUUCAGCGAGGAGGAAAGGUUGGUAGCUAAUAACUGCCAGCUGUGACGUUACUCGCAGAAGAAGCACCGGCUAACUCCGUGCCAGCAGCCGCCGUAACAC